UACGGGGGGAGCAAGCGUUGUUCGGAUUUACUGGGCGUAAAGGGCGCGUAGGCGGCGCCGCAAGUCGACUGUGAAAUCUCCGGGCUUAACCCGGAAAGGUCAGCCGAUACUGCGGGGCUAGAGUGCAGAAGGGGCAACUGGAAUUCUCGGUGUAGCGGUGAAAUGCGUAGAUAUCGAGAGGAACACCUGCGGCGAAGGCGGGUUGCUGGGCUGAUACUGACGCUGAGGCGCGAAAGCCAGGGGAGACGAACGGG
rnacentral:rRNA from 1 species